rnacentral:rRNA from 1 species
GACGAACGCUGGCGGCGUGCCUAACACAUGCAAGUCGAACGGACAGGCCCUGAUUUUGUGGCGUGCUCGUGUGCCGAACGGGUGAGUAACACGUGAGUAACAUGCCCUUGUCUUUGGGAUAACUUUAGGAAAAUCGGGCUCUUACCGGAUAGGAGAUCCUGCUGCACGGUGGGGGUUGGAAAGUUUCGGCGGUUGGGGAUGGUCUCGAGGCUUAUCAGCUUGUUGGUGGGGUAGUGGCUUACAAAGGCUGUGACGGGUAGGCGGCCUGAGAGGGUGACCGGCCUCAUUGGGACUGCGAGACGGACCAGACUCCUACGGGAGGCAGCAGGGGAGAAUAUUGCACAACGGGCGGAAGCCUGAUGCAGCAACGCCGCGUGCGGGAUGACGGCCUUCGGGGUGUAAACCGCCUUCGCCUGUGACGAAGCGUGAGUGACGGUAAUGGGUAAAAAAGCAACGGCUAACUACGUG